rnacentral:tRNA from 1 species
CAGAGAGUAGUUUAAUUAAAAUAAUAAUUUUGGAGAUUGUUGAUGGAUGUAAUCUUUCUCUGA